GGGUGUGUAGCUCAGCAGUAGAGCACGUGCUUAGCAUACAAGAGGUCCUGGGUUCAAUCCCCAGCACCUCCA
rnacentral:tRNA from 1 species